rnacentral:rRNA from 1 species
UGUGUAGGCGGGACGGUACGCGCCUUGUGAAAGCCCUCGGCUUAACCGGGGAAUUGCGAGGUGUACUGCCGUUCUUGAGGCAAGUAGGGGUGCACGGAACUGUUGGUGGAGCGGUGGAAUGCGUAGAUAUCAACAGGAACGCCGGUGGUGAAGACGGUGCACUGGGCUUGUCCUGACGCUGAGACACGAAAGCGUGGGGAGCGAACG